GUACACGUGAGUAACCUGCCCUUGACUUUGGGAUAACUUCAGGAAACUGGGGCUAAUACCGGAUAGGAGCUCCUGCUGCAUGGUGGGGGUUGGAAAGUUUCGGCGGUUGGGGAUGGACUCGCGGCUUAUCAGCUUGUUGGUGGGGUAGUGGCUUACCAAGGCUUUGACGGGUAGCCGGCCUGAGAGGGUGACCGGCCACAUUGGGACUGAGAUACGGCCCAG
rnacentral:rRNA from 1 species